rnacentral:rRNA from 1 species
CUACGGGUGGCUGCAGUGAGGAAUUUUGCGCAAUGGGGGAAACCCUGACGCAGCAACGCCGCGUGAGCGAAGAAGGCCUUCGGGUCGUAAAGCUCUGUCAAGUGGGAAAAAAAUUCUUUGAUGAACAGUCAAAGGACUUGAUGGUACCACUGGAGGAAGCACCGGCUAACUCCGUGCCAGCAGCCGCGGUAAUACGGAGGGUGCAAGCGUUGUUCGGAAUUACUGGGCGUAAAGAGCGUGUAGGCGGUGUGACAAGUCAGAUGUGAAAGCCCCGGGCUCAACCCGGGAAGUGCAUUUGAAACUGUUUCACUAGAGUAUGGGAGAGGAGAUUGGAAUUCCUGGUGUAGAGGUGAAAUUCGUAGAUAUCAGGAGGAACACCCGUGGCGAAGGCGAUUCUCUGGACCAAUACUGACGCUGAGACGCGAAAGCGUGGGGAGCAAACAGGAUUAGAUACCCGCGUAGUC